UGAUUGUUUAAAGGAGAGUUGGCGAACUGCCACGCCGAAGGAGCAAGAAGGUUAUUAUCCUAUAAUCUUUGAAUCUCUCAGGCCCACGUACUUUAACAAGACG
rnacentral:ncRNA from 2 species